UGGGGAAUUUUGGACAAUGGGGGAAACCCUGAUCCAGCCAUCCCGCGUGUGCGAUGAAGGCCUUCGGGUUGGAAAGCACUUUUGGCAGGAAAGAAACGUCAUGGGUUAAUACCCCGUGAAACUGACGGUACCUGCAGAAUAAGCACCGGCUAACUACGUGCCAGCAGCCGCGGUAAUACGUAGGGUGCAAGCGUUAAUCGGAAUUACUGGGCGUAAAGCGUGCGCAGGCGGUUCGGAAAGAAAGAUGUGAAAUCCCAGAGCUCAACUUUGGAACUGCAUUUUUAACUACCGGGCUAGAGUGUGUCAGAGGGAGGUGGAAUUCCGCGUGUAGCAGUGAAAUGCGUAGCUAUGCGGGGGAACACCGAUGGCGAAGGCAGCCUCCUGGGAUAACACUGACGCUCAUGCACGAACGCGUGGGGAGCAAACAGG
rnacentral:rRNA from 1 species